ensembl:lncRNA ARGLU1-DT ARGLU1 divergent transcript
GGUCUUGUGGGGCAGCCCUAAAAUGUAUCUCCAAGUGACCCUGCACUCAUCACUUGCUGCCUUGGACUUAGUUUCCUCAUUCGUAGAAUGGAGACACCACACUUUCUGAAGUGCUUAUGAGACUUGCAGGAGGUAGACUUUUCUGGAAGACCCAGACCUCGAGUUGGAAUGGGGAGAACACUUAAACACUUGAUGUGCAGACAUCCUGAGCUUCAGCUGAUCUUACAAGCACAAAGGUCUUUUGUAGGAGGAAUGUACCUACAAAUGUCUGAAUCGUCUAAAAUAUCAGAACUUAUAAGUCAGCAUUUUCAUAUAAAAGUGAAUUAGAAGCAGUUUGAGAAUGCAGUGCUAAUUCAUAUAUGCAUACAUUCAUAACUUGCAUAAAUAUGUUAAAAGUUGUUUGGAAAUGUGACCCAAUGACAUGGAUCCUACUUCUAGACUUUUGAAAAUAUCUGCAUAUGGUUCUUAUCCUUUAGCACUAACAUGACACAUAUAAACAGAUGUAAAUAGCUAAAAGGGGCCUGUAAGCUACUUUGUAAGCACGGC